UAAGGAAUGUUGGUCAAUGGACGCAAGUCUGAACCAGCCAUGCCGCGUGAAGGAUGAAGGUCCUCUGGAUUGUAAACUUCUUUUAUCUGGGACGAAAACGGGAUUUUUAUCUCAAUUGACGGUACCAGCGGAAUAAGCACCGGCUAACUCCGCGCCAGCAGCCGCGGUAAUACGGAGGGUGCGAGCGUUAUCCGGAUUUACUGGGUUUAAAGGGUGCGUAGGUGGGCUUAUAAGUCAGUGGUGAAAUCUCCGAGCUUAACGUGGAAACUGCCGUUGAUACUAUAGGUCUUGAAUUAUCUGGAGGUAAGCGGAAUAUGUCAUGUAGCGGUGAAAUGCUUAGAUAUGACAUAGAACACCAAUUGCGAAGGCAGCUUACUACAUAUAAAUUGACGCUGAGGCACGAAAGCGUGGGGAUCAAACA
rnacentral:rRNA from 1 species